UCAUACAAGCACUUUGUCUGUCAAGCCACUC
rnacentral:piRNA from 1 species